UAUAUAAUGAUAUGAUAUAGUAACUUAAAAUUCUCCCAUUUUAUUGGCCUAGUCUAAUCAAAAUGUCCAGUUCUGCCUAAACAUGUCGUACUUAAAAACCCCACAGGCGUGACUCUACAAAUUUAAAUCAAACUUUUUGGUUAUUUAUUUUAAUUAAUUUCUGUUUACUUAUUAUUACAAUUAACAAUGCUGUAAAAAAUGGUAGUAUAGGGUUAUUAAAUUUAUAUAGGUACAUUACGAUAAAUCAUUUAUAACUACAAACACAUAUCAAUGUGAUAAAUUCAAAUUAUUCAUUAAAUAAUGGUCACAGGUAUGGACGGAAUAUAUAUUUCUCCAUUCAAAAGUGAAGCCGUGUUGUUUAGACCCUUUUGCCAUGUCACUAUUGAUAUGAGCAAAGUUUGGUUAAACAUGUUAUGAACUUUAAUUGAAAAUUGUAUUAUUUGUAACUACUAAAUAAAUUAAAAUUAUCAGUGUUUUUCAGUAUUUUUAUGGAGCCAAAAGUUUUAUACACAUAAAUCAAAAAAUUAAUUUGCAAAAAUUCCUUGAUGUUAUCCAAAUAAAACCAACACAAAACUAAAAAAUUGCGCUAUGCUAACUUAUAUC